GGCUGGUCUCAGUGUAUUUACAACUAAUUGAUCACAACCAGGUACAGAUUUCUUUGUUCCUUCUUCACUCCCACUGUUUACUUGAUUAACCUUAA
rnacentral:Y_RNA from 1 species